rnacentral:lncRNA from 1 species
CAGAGGGCAGCAAACCUUUUCUGUCAGGGGCAGAUAGUAAAUAUUGUAAACUUUGCAUUGCAACAACUCUGCUGCCAUUGUAGCAGGAAAGCAGCAAAGACAAUACAUAAAUGAAAGAUGUAGCUGUGUUCCAAUACCACUUUCUUUACAAAAACAGGCAGCGGGGCUGCAGGCCGUAGUUUGCCAACCCCUGCCCUAGACAGGGCCUGGCUGACACACUGCAGAUUUUCAAUAAAAAUGGACCAAAUGAAUGAGUUCUUAACUGAAAUCAACAAGAAUGCAUUGAGCACCUAUUCUGUUUUACAGAGAAAACUGUUGACCUUCAACAUAUUUGCUUGCAGUUUUUCUCUGCUUCCUGAGCUUCGACAACCCGGCCAGCGUGCAGACCGCCAUCCAGGCCAUGAACGGCUUCCAGGUCAGCAUGAAGAGGCUCCAGGUGCAGCUGAAGCGGCCCAAAGGCACCAGUUGCCUGGACUGAGCACCCGUGGGAGCAUCUCCCGCGGGAGAGCAGGACUCGAACAGGGCAGGAUGCUGAACGGGCUCCCUUUAAAAACCUGCACAUGUAUAUCGGAACUUCAAACCAAAUUAAAUAAAUA